CCCCUUUCAGGGUCGCACCUGGAGAUUUUCCAGUACUCUACCAGUCUUGGCUUCAGAAGGGAGAGUCAAGCAGAGGCCUACUUAGUCCAUUCCUAGCUUGGGCAGGGGCUAGUGAGUGGAAGGCAAUCUGCUACAAGU